rnacentral:rRNA from 1 species
AACGAACGCUGGCGGCAUGCCUAACACAUGCAAGUCGAACGAGACCUUCGGGUCUAGUGGCGCACGGGUGCGUAACGCGUGGGAACCUGCCCUUAGGUUCGGAAUAACUCCCCGAAAGGGGUGCUAAUACCGGAUAAUGUCUUCGGACCAAAGAUUUAUCGCCUUUGGAUGGGCCCGCGUUGGAUUAGCUAGUUGGUAGGGUAAAAGCCUACCAAGGCGACGAUCCAUAGCUGGUCUGAGAGGAUGAUCAGCCACACUGGGACUGAGACACGGCCCAGACUCCUACGGGAGGAAGCAGUGGGGAAUAUUGGAAAAGGGGCGAAAGCCUGAUCCAGCAAUGCCGGGUGAGGGAUGAAGGCCUUAGGGUUGUAAAGCUUUUUUACCCGGGAUGAUAAUGACAGUACCGGGAGAAAAAGCUCCGGCUAACUCCGU